AGAAGGCCUUGUGAUCCUGCUGGAGGAAGAGGGCAACUCCAGGGCAGGUUGGUAGGUGGACAAGGGGCUACAGAUGGACAAGGGGAUCAGGGAAAGAUGCCUUUCACCUUCUGACAGCGAGAACAUCUGGUGAGUGAACUCAGGAUCGAAGCGGAUCCUAUAACUACAAGCUGGACUGUGGACAGGAUUGUGGCUAGCUUAUGCUUCCUCUCUUCCCCUUCAUUUUGUGUAAUGGGCAUGGCUUCCCACGUCAAAUCAACUCUUCUUACGAAGAUGAAGCACAUAGCUCAUUUCACGUGGUUUUGCUGCACAAGUUGAAUCUUGUUACUUGGACGAAAUUCCAUGACAAAAUUCAAAAGUUUCAUUUCCGAUUCCCAAUUCUGAUUUUCAUCCCCCGCGUCCCCAUUAGCUUAACAGCAUUCAUAUGUGAUGGUUCCUCACUGAAACUGAUUUCUCACUUUUGUUUCAGCUUGUGUACUGUAUUGUUAACAGUCUAGCCAUUUGUGGGGGUGCCCUUCAGGGACUGGGGAAAAAACACACCAUGUAGUUAUUUAUUAUUUUUUUAAAAAGACAGUCCUUGUCUCCAAAAGUGAACAGAUGGAAGGUGAAUUUUGAAAGGACUGUACCUUUCUUUAAAUGUCAGUUAUUGUGUUGGAUUUCAUUAUGUCUAUUUGGGACAGAUGGCAAUGUUUAGGAUCUGGCCUUGGUUUAUACCUAUUACUGACACUCUAAUGCUUGGAGAAAUUGUCUAUCAGCUAAGAUGCUUCUUUUGGCGAUUUGUCAUGGGGAGAGCAAAUUGCUCCAUAGCAAUAUAUGCAAAUUGUAGAUGAUAUAACAGUAAUGUUGGCAAAUUAUCCCUUGCCCAUGAAGAAAGGAUGCUGUUAGCAAAUCACCAUGUACCUGAAAACAGACACAGGAACUAGCUGAAACGGCCAUCCUAUUUAGACAUUAAAAACAUAUGAUAAUCACAUGAGACUGGCAAGUGGGGAGGUGCACAUAUCCCCCCCAACAUGAGGCAAUCACUUCACAUGACAGGUGCUGGGGGGGGGGGCAGCACUGGCUGCUUCCCUGCUGCCCUUCCUGCUGCCCCCUCAAGCCAUUCUCCUUUGUUGGAGCUCAGAACUCUGUUCUACAUGUGUGUGGCGCACCCUCUAUACUGGGCUGCUGCCCUCAGGUGUCCAGCCCCAUUGCCAGAGUUGAACUAAGAAGCAACUACUGGUCCAACUGGCUUCUGUAUACAGUCCUACCUCAUGUUACGUUUGCUUCAGGUUGCGCGUUUUCAGGUUGCGUCCCGUGGCGACCCGGAAGUACCGGAAAGGGUUACUUCUGGGUUUCGCCCCUCGUGCAUGCUCAGAUGCACAAAAUGAUGUCACGCGCAUGCGCAGAAGUGGCGAAUUGAGACCCACAGAUGUGGGUUGUGUUCUGCUCAUGUUGCGAACAGACCUCCGGAACGGAUCCCGUUCACAACCAGAGGUACCACUGUAUGAGAUUUGGGGGGGCGGGAGGAAGCACCAUUUUGUUCUUUGCCUCAGGCAGCAAAAUGGUACAGGCCUUGGUGGGACACAUAGCUCUCUGACCACCAACAUAGGGGAAUGGCUGGGGGACUCAGGAUGAAAUGGUAUUGUGGGUGUGUGUUACUGUAGCCCCCCACAACUACUUCCUCAGAUGCCUGCCUGUCUAUGUUCCUUCAACAGCCCUUGAGUGUUGCUGCACCUUAAACAUGCGCCUCAACAAUGCAAGGCCCAGGAGAAAUUAGUUAUAUUUAAGAGAUGGCACCCACGUUUGAAACACCACCCCCAAUAUAAAGCUGCAGAGAGAUAUAAUUACAUAUAAUAGCAGCCUCAGCUUCUAAACGAGGAUAUACAGGCUACUCAAUAGGUAGUUCUUGGGAAAGUGUGUAUCUGCCGAUAGCAGCCCCGCCACCUGAAAUAUUCAUGCUUUUGUAAUUGUUCAAAUCAAAUCUCCAUCUACAAAGGAACGUCCUCGGUUUCAGAAAUGAUGGAAUGUGGAGGAGUCUAAGCAUGUUUCUUGAUUGGGGGGUGGGGAGAAAGAAAGAAGAGAGAGAGAGAGAGAGAGAGAGAGAGAGAGAGAGAGAGACGCCGAACAAAAUAAGAUUAUAAAAGAAGCCCCAAAAAGUCACACUUUAAUAUUCCACUCUCAUUUUCAUCAAUCACUGAAGCAAUACCCCCUAGAUCAGUGCAUUAACUUGUUUAUCUUUUACAACGAGGGGAGAGGGGAAAAAAAACUUCAUAGCUUCAUCCUUCAUUCCAGAGUGAGGGGGAAAAAAACAAAAGCCAGCCACCGAAAUUUGCAUGGUGCUCAAUUAUACAUUAGUGAACAUCACUUGGCAAUCUGUUCAUAUCAAUUUAAUUGGAUUUUAAUACUGCCUCUGAUCUUGUUUUCUAAUUAACAGCAGUGCCUGGCAAUAAAGCAGAACCAUGCACCCAGCAACACCUUUGAUCUCAACCAUAUGGAGCUGCUCCAUGCUCUUGGAAAAAAAGUCUCCCUUUCCUCCGAUGCAGGCCGAGAAAUACCAGGGGCCCCCAGAUGGCUGUAUACCACUCAUGACUGCGAC
rnacentral:lncRNA from 1 species